GAAACCUUUUAUUAUAUAAUUAGGCAUAUAAAACCUAUAUUGCCUACAACAUCAUCAAAUUUUAUAAAGGAUCCUAUAACUGUUGAAGAAAGGCUUAUGAUUUGUCUAAGCAACAGGAUGUAGGUAUCCUACCCUAGCUUAUUCUUUCAAAAGGGGUAUAUCUACCAUCCAACAAAUUAUUAAGAGAACUACCAAAGCUAUAUGGCAAGCUUUGGUAAGCCAACAUAUGCCACCACCUACUCUCUCUGAUUUUGAGAGAAUAGCGAAGACUUUGAAUUAAAGUGGAAUCUACCUAAUUGUAUAGGUAGUAUUGAUGGUAAACACUGCAGAAUAAGGAAACCACCUCAUUCUGGCAGUGGAUUUUACAAUUACAAACAUUUUUUCUCUGUUGUUUUACAAGGAAUUGUAGAUGCUAAUGGAAAAUUUAUAACUGUUGAUGUUGGCAGUUUUGGCAGUGAAUCUGAUGGAGGAAUUUUUGCUAACUCCAAAAUAUAUAAAAUGAUAGAAAGUGGAGAGAUUAAAUUGCCUCCUGCAAAAAAAUUGCCCAAUUCCAGCCUUAUUUUCCCACAUUAUUUUGUGGGUGAUGAUGCUUAUCCGUUGAAGUCUUCUAUUUUAAAACCUUACAAGGGUAAACUUACACCCCAACAGGAGGCCUAUAAUUAUAGAAUAUCUAGGGCUAGAAUACAAGUGGAAUGCACAUUUGGUAUUCUAAGAGCUAAAUGGAUGAUCUUUGAUCAACCAAUGGAUACGAAAUUAGAGCUAACAGAAGAUAUAAUUAAAACAUGUACCUUACUCAAUAACAUUAUUAUUGAUAAGGAAAAAUAUAUUCCUUUUAACCCUCAAA